rnacentral:rRNA from 1 species
UAGGGAAUCUUCGGCAAUGGACGAAAGUCUGACCGAGCAACGCCGCGUGAGUGAAGAAGGUUUUCGGAUCGUAAAACUCUGUUGUUAGAGAAGAACAAGGACGUUAGUAACUGAACGUCCCCUGACGGUAUCUAACCAGAAAGCCACGGCUAACUACGUGCCAGCAGCCGCGGUACUACGUAGGUGGCAAGCGUUGUCCGGAUUUAUUGGGCGUAAAGCGAGCGCAGGCGGUUUCUUAAGUCGGAUGUGAAAGCCCCCGGCUCAACCGGGGAGGGUCAUUGGAAGCUGGGAGACUUGAGUGCAGAAGAGGAGAGUGGAAUUCCAUGUGUAGCGGUGAAAUGCGUAGAUAUAUGGAGGAACACCAGUGGCGAAGGCGGCUCUCUGGUCUGUAACUGACGCUGAGGCUCGAAAGCGUGGGGAGCAAACAGG